rnacentral:rRNA from 1 species
CAGCCCUGCCGCGUGUGUGAAGAAGGCCUUCGGGUUGUAAAGCACUUUCAGCGAGGAAGAACGCCUAGUGGUUAAUACCCAUUAGGAAAGACAUCACUCGCAGAAGAAGCACCGGCUAACUCCGUGCCAGCAGCCGCGGUAAUACGGAGGGUGCGAGCGUUAAUCGGAAUUACUGGGCGUAAAGCGCGCGUAGGUGGCUUGAUAAGCCGGUUGUGAAAGCCCCGGGCUCAACCUGGGAACGGCAUCCGGAACUGUCAAGCUAGAGUGCAGGAGAGGAAGGUAGAAUUCCCGGUGUAGCGGUGAAAUGCGUAGAGAUCGGGAGGAAUACCAGUGGCGAAGGCGGCCUUCUGGACUGACACUGACACUGAGGUGCGAAAGCGUGGGUAGCAAACAGGAUUAGAUACCCUGGUAGUCCACGCCGUAAACGAUGUCGACCAGCCGUUGGGUGCCUAGCGCACUUUGUGGCGAAGUUAACGCGAUAAGUCGACCGCC